CUUUCAUCAUGCGAAGACACAGCUAGAGUGCUCCAUCUAUGAGUCAGAAAGCAAGCCCUUACCAGACACCAAAUCGGCUCUUUGGGAAGAGUUCUCUCAGGAGGGGACUUUAUUUGAAGAGCGAUAAAGAAACAAGAGAUCCAGUCAAUCCAAUGACUUUUAGUGAUCUUCACUAAGCUGGUUCUGGGUGCCCCCAGAAUACAAAGGUGAGCUGGACACAGACCCUGUACUGGAGGAGAUCACAGACCAGAACUGUGAACAAUUUAUGAUUUCUGACCCAUCUCACCACCUAAAAACAAUCUUGAAUUCUCCAUUACUGGUAAACUCCAAAGCCAGGUUUACCAGCCACUAACUCUGGGUCACAAAUAAAAGUGCUAAAUCUGAGAUCACAGAAAACUCACUUUGAUCUAUUCAUCCCAUUGUACCUGAAUCUGAAGGUUUCAGCAGCAAACAAGACAUUUGAUGAUGGAGGCCUUUUUCCUAAUGGUUAGACUUUAAUACCCAAGUGUCCUCUGUACCACUUGCUAGCACG
rnacentral:lncRNA from 1 species